UACGGGAGGCAGCAGUGGGGAAUAUUGCACAAUGGGCGCAAGCCUGAUGCAGCCAUGCCGCGUGUAUGAAAAAGGCCUUCGGGUUGUAAAGUACUUUCAGUCGUGAGGAAGGUGUUAAGGUUAAUAACCUUAGCAAUUGACGUUAGCGACAGAAGAAGCACCGGCUAACUCCGUGCCAGCAGCCGCGGUAAUACGGAGGGUGCGAGCGUUAAUCGGAAUUACUGGGCGUAAAGGGCACGCAGGCGGUUAAUUAAGUUGGAUGUGAAAUCCCCGGGCUUAACCUGGGAAUGGCAUUCAAGACUGGUUAGCUAGAGUCUUGUAGAGGGGGUAGAAUUCCAUGUGUAGCGGUGAAAUGCGUAGAGAUGUGGAGGAAUACCGGUGGCGAAGGCGGCCCCUGGACAAAGACUGACGCUCGAUGUGCGAAAGCGUGGGGAGCAAACAGGGAUUAGAUACC
rnacentral:rRNA from 1 species